rnacentral:lncRNA from 1 species
AUAGAAGUGAACCAGGUUUGGUCUCAGAGGCUAAUGGUUGCAGUGGUGAUGGAGAAUGACUCCCAUGAGGUUGGAUGCCCCUUUCCAAACUAGCCUCUCUCCCUCAUCCUUCCUCCACAGCCUGGAUAAAACUGGCAGUAAAGGUCAGUGGUUGAGGGUGUGGAAACCAGAAGGCCUGCAUUUGAAUCCUGUCCCUGUCACUGACUAGCUUCAUGGCCUCAGGAAUCAGCACUGAUGGCCUUCUCUGGGAACCUGCUCCUGCAUUUGGAACAGGAGACUCACCUGGAUUGAAGGUGUGGAGCCUUCACCUGGGGCCUGCAGCUCCUCUGGCCCAGCCUCCUCAAGCACUCCUGUCUCUCAAGCCCAUACGGAUUCCUUCUGAGCUGGCUACACCAGGGCUCUUUGCAUCCCUCUGCCCAUGGGGUUUAACGUAAAGUGUACCUAGGCUCAAAACCUGCCUUCUCUACCUAUUUACUCUGUGCGGCUUUGGGCAAGUUACUAAACCUCUCUGAGCUUCUGUCCCCUCUUUGUAAAAUGGGGUUGAUAAUAGCAUCUGCCCCAUAGGUUUGCUGUGAGGCUCCAGUGAGAUUGACAGUGCACAUAAAACACUUACUAAAGGCCUGGCAGAGUUCGAAUUCGAUAAAGGGCAGCUCUUACCGUCGCAAAAACCAAGGCUGCUCCAACAUUGCCCUCACCUGGGUAGGAGCUGCCUUUGAAGACAGGAACCAACUCCCUCAACUUCAUGUGCCCACCUGGCAUGGUGCCUGAUACACAGUGGGGGCUCAAAUGUCUGUGAGUUGAAAUAUUUGAUAGCACUGUGUUCUCUCUUCUCAUUUACAUUUUAUCUUUCUUGAGGAUAAAAAUUGCAUGUAUUGCAAAUCAAUUUCAUAGAUUGACUUUUUAAUUUUAAUAAGAUAUACCUAACAUAAAAGUUAACCAUGGUCACAGCUUUUAACUGCACAGUUCAGUGGCAUUGAGUCCAUGCACAUUGUUGUGCAACCACGUGGCUUAUUUUUUUUUUUUUUUUUGAGACAGAGUCUUGCUCUAUCACCAGGCUGGAGUGUAGCAGCAUGAUCCCGGCUCACUGCAAUUCUCCUGCCUCAGCCUCCCGAGUAGCUGGGACUUCAGGAAUGCACCACCAGUCCUGGCUAUUUUUUUUAGUAGAGAUAGGGUUUCACCAUGUUGGCAAGGAUGGUCUUGAUCUCUUGACCUCGUGAUCUGCCCGCCUUGGCCUCCCAAAAUGCUGGGAUUAUAGGCCUGAGCCAUCGCGCCCAGCCCAUGUGCCAUUUUUAAAAACAUCCACAGCAGCCAGCUCAGGACCAGGCAUAGAAGCUGAAUCUCUAUCGACUGAGUGGACAUGAAUAGAGAAGCCCCGCACCAGGAGGCAGGCUUCAUUCAAAAGGGACCACCCCUGUGUCACGUUUAUUGAGCACCUGCUAUGUCCCCCUAACAUGUGUCACAGUUCCUGGACAUAGCAGGUGCUCAAUAAACGUGAAACGUGCCACAAGCAGAAGUUGCACACUGGCAGGAAAGUGGGACGGGGCCAUGAGGCACGUUGUUUGGGGCCACACAAACUUUUUCUAUUUUAAAGUUAAAAAUAAAUUGUUUUGAAUAAGUUGCACUCUCACAUAAAAAUCCAUAUUGUAGCUUCUCUUGAAAGACAGAAGGCUCUGGCUGCUUUGGGCCUGCAUGUUUGGAUGGCAGCACUCUGCUAGCACUGAGCACAGCCUGCCCCUUUGGAUGGAGUGGACGGUCUCCAGGCCGCUGCUCUCACUGAAAUGACUCCCUUGCUCCCCUGAGCGCUUGAGUUUGAGACCCUGCUGUACAGUCAGAUGAACAGGACUUGAGACUUACUUCCUUAGCUGAACAGCUGAGAGCACUUAAGGAGGUCAGCCAGCCUCUGAGCC